GACGGAAGGUGCAAGCGUUGCUCGGAAUCACUGGGCGUAAAGGGUGCGUAGGCGGCUUGGUAAGUUGGGUGUGAAAGCCCCGGGCUCAACUGGGGAACUGCGCGGGAAACUGCGGGGCUUGAGUUCGGGAGAGGGAAGCGGAAUUCCGGGUGUAGCGGUGAAAUGCGUAGAUAUCCGGAGGAACACCGGUGGCGAAGGCGGCUUCCUGGACCGACAUUGACGCUGAUGAGCGAAAGCUAGGGGAGCAAACGGG
rnacentral:rRNA from 1 species